rnacentral:rRNA from 1 species
GAUGAACGCUGGCGGCGUGCCUAAUACAUGCAAGUCGAGCGAACAGAUGAGGAGCUUGCUCCUCUGACGUUAGCGGCGGACGGGUGAGUAACACGUGGAUAACCUACCUAUAAGACUGGGAUAACUUCGGGAAACCGGAGCUAAUACCGGAUAAUAUCUUGAACAGCAUGGUUCCAUAGUGGAAGCCGGUUUUGCUGUCACUUAUAGAUGGAUCCGCGCCGCAUUAGCUAGUUGGUAAGGUAACGGCUUACCAAGGCAACGAUGCGUAGACGACCUGAUAGGGUGAUCGGCCACACGGGAACUGAGACAGGGUCCAGACUACUACGGGAGGCAGCAGUAGGGAAUCUUCCGCAAUGGGCGGAAGCCUGACGGAGCAGCGCGGCGUGAGUGAUAAAGGUCUUCGGAUCGUAAAGCUCUGUUAUUAGGGAAGAACAAAUGUGGAAGUAACUAUGCACGUCUUGACGGUACCUAAUCAGAAAGCAACGGCUAACUACGUG